GACGAACGCUGGCGGCGUGCUUAACACAUGCAAGUCGAACGGAAAGGCCCCUUUGGGGGUACUCGAGUGGCGAACGGGUGAGUAACACGUGCGUAACCUGCCCUUGACUUCGGGAUAACUUCAGGAAACUGGGGCUAAUACCGGAUAGGAAUCCUUGCUGCAUGGUGGGGGUUGGAAAGCUUCGGCGGUUUUGGAUGGACUCGCGGCUUAUCAGCUUGUUGGUGGGGUAGUGGCUUACCAAGGCUUUGACGGGUAGCCGGCCUGAGAGGGCGACCGGCCACAUUGGGACUGAGAUACGGCCCAGACUCCUACGGGAGGCAGCAGGGGGGAAUAUUGCACAAUGGGCGGAAGCCUGAUGCAGCAACGCCGCGGGCGGGAUGACGGCCUUCGGGUUGGAAACCGCUUUCAGCAGGGGCGAAGCUUGUGGUGACGGUACCUGCAGAAGAAGCACCGGCUAACUACGUG
rnacentral:rRNA from 1 species